AUUUAUAAGUUUUAGUAAAAACACACAAAAAGUUAAUUGAGGUUGACAAACUUUAAAAAAAGUUGGAUUUAUUAAACCCCUCUUAACUGCUGUUGUAACUUUUGAUCACCUGACCAAUGCUGGGUUAAGGAACGACCACGUGAUUUGGCUGUCACGCGCAGUGCUGUCCUUGGGCUCGUUCGUCUCAAAUAUGAGUUCCGAAAUGUUUCUGGUAAGAGGACGUGCUGGACUAGUGGAGAAAGGCUUGGAUUACAGUCAACAUAGACCCUGAUUCGAGGCCCGGCCAAGCCGAGAAAAACACGCAACUCUAUUCAGGAUAUUUCGAUGUUGUUUGACUUAUGUGGAUCGGUGUUUAAUUUUACAACAAACAAUUGAAAACCGAUGCAGUUUGGUGUACAGUACAGAGGAGCGGUCGAAUAAAAUAAAAGUUAAACCCUACGAAAAUUCGAAUUCCUAUUUACCUAACAACAGAGAGGAACCACCGAAACCUCACCACUUCUCUAACACAAAAGCACCUUUUUCAAACGAUAACAUAAACGGAGAGAAGCUCUUAACCGAAAGUUACUCACCUCUAGGGAUAAUCAGAGUCAAUGGAAGAAUACAAGUACAGUCGGAUAAUUCUAAAAUUUCCGAAAAUUUUCGUAAUGCGGGGAGAAACCAAUUCCUUCCAUCUCAAGUUAACGAGAGGAAUUUAGGUAAGGAUUCGAACAUAAAAAA